AAAUUGAAGAGUUUGAUCAUGGCUCAGAUUGAACGCUGGCGGCAGGCCUAACACAUGCAAGUCGAGCGGUAGCACAGAGAGCUUGCUCUCGGGUGACGAGCGGCGGACGGGUGAGUAAUGUCUGGGAAACUGCCUGAUGGAGGGGGAUAACUACUGGAAACGGUAGCUAAUACCGCAUAAUGUCGCAAGACCAAAGUGGGGGACCUUCGGGCCUCAUGCCAUCAGAUGUGCCCAGAUGGGAUUAGCUAGUAGGUGGGGUAAUGGCUCACCUAGGCGACGAUCCCUAGCUGGUCUGAGAGGAUGACCAGCCACACUGGAACUGAGACACGGUCCAGACUCCUACGGGAGGCAGCAGUGGGGAAUAUUGCACAAUGGGCGCAAGCCUGAUGCAGCCAUGCCGCGUGUGUGAAGAAGGCCUUCGGGUUGUAAAGCACUUUCAGCGGGGAGGAAGGCGAUAAGGUUAAUAACCUUAGCGAUUGACGUUACCCGCAGAAGAAGCACCGGCUAACUCCGUGCCAGCAGCCGCGGUAAUACGGAGGGUGCAAGCGUUAAUCGGAAUUACUGGGCGUAAAGCGCACGCAGGCGGUCUGUCAAGUCGGAUGUGAAAUCCCCGGGCUCAACCUGGGAACUGCAUUCGAAACUGGCAGGCUAGAGUCUUGUAGAGGGGGGUAGAAUUCCAGGUGUAGCGGUGAAAUGCGUAGAGAUCUGGAGGAAUACCGGUGGCGAAGGCGGCCCCCUGGACAAAGACUGACGCUCAGGUGCGAAAGCGUGGGGAGCAAACAGGAUUAGAUACCCUGGUAGUCCACGCCGUAAACGAUGUCGAUUUGGAGGUUGUGCCCUUGAGGCGUGGCUUCCGGAGCUAACGCGUUAAAUCGACCGCCUGGGGAGUACGGCCGCAAGGUUAAAACUCAAAUGAAUUGACGGGGGCCCGCACAAGCGGUGGAGCAUGUGGUUUAAUUCGAUGCAACGCGAAGAACCUUACCUGGUCUUGACAUCCACAGAACUUUCCAGAGAUGGAUUGGUGCCUUCGGGAACUGUGAGACAGGUGCUGCAUGGCUGUCGUCAGCUCGUGUUGUGAAAUGUUGGGUUAAGUCCCGCAACGAGCGCAACCCUUAUCCUUUGUUGCCAGCGGUUAGGCCGGGAACUCAAAGGAGACUGCCAGUGAUAAACUGGAGGAAGGUGGGGAUGACGUCAAGUCAUCAUGGCCCUUACGACCAGGGCUACACACGUGCUACAAUGGCAUAUACAAAGAGAAGCGACCUCGCGAGAGCAAGCGGACCUCAUAAAGUAUGUCGUAGUCCGGAUUGGAGUCUGCAACUCGACUCCAUGAAGUCGGAAUCGCUAGUAAUCGUAGAUCAGAAUGCUACGGUGAAUACGUUCCCGGGCCUUGUACACACCGCCCGUCACACCAUGGGAGUGGGUUGCAAAAGAAGUAGGUAGCUUAACCUUCGGGAGGGCGCUUACCACUUUGUGAUUCAUGACUGGGGUGAAGUCGUAACAAGGUAACCGUAGGGGAACCUGCGGUUGGAUCACCUCCUUA
rnacentral:rRNA from 1 species